UAAUUUGAAUUGCUCCGAAGCUGGAUAGCCUAAAGCAGAUGCCAUGGCAACCAGACAAGUGUCUACGACACUCGGGUAUUAUGGGAAACUAUAAUAUCUCCUGCUGGAAAGGAGUCUGUUUGACGGUGGU
rnacentral:ncRNA from 2 species